GACGAACUUUGGCGGCGCGCCUAACACAUGCAAGUCAAACGAGAGAGAGGGAGCUUGCUUCCUCAAUCGAGUGGCGAACGGGUGAGUAACGCGUGAGGAACCUGCCUCAAAGAGGGGGACAACAGUUGGAAACGACUGCUAAUACCGCAUAAGCCCACAGGUCGGCAUCGACCAGAGGGAAAAGGAGCACUCCGCUUUGAGAUGGCCUCGCGUCCGAUUAGCUAGUUGGUGAGGUAAUGGCCCACCAAGGCGACGGUCGGUAGCCGGACUGAGAGGUUGAACGGCCACUUUGGGACUGAGACACGGCCCAUACUCCUACGGGAGGCAGCAGUGGGGAAUAUUGCACAAUGGGGGAAACCCUGAUGCAGCGACGCCGCGUGGAGGAAGAAGGUCUUCGGAUUGUAAACUCCUGUUGUUGAGGAAGAUAAUGACGGUACUCAACAAGGAAGUGACGGCUAACUACGUGCCAGCAGCCGCGGUAAAACGUAGGUCACAAGCGUUGUCCGGAAUUACUGGGUGUAAAGGGAGCGCAGGCGGGAAGACAAGUUGGAAGUGAAAUCUCUGGGCUCAACCAAUAAACUGCUUUCAAAACUGUUUUUCUUGAGUAGAGCAGAGGUAGGCGGAAUUCCCGGUGUAGCGGUGGAAC
rnacentral:rRNA from 1 species